GACGAACGCUGGCGGCGUGCCUAAUACAUGCAAGUAGAACGCUGAAGAGAGGAGCUUGCUCUUCUUGGGUGAGUGGCGAACGGGUGAGUAACGCGUAGGUAACCUGCCUGGUAGCGGGGGAUAACUAUUGGAAACGAUAGCUAAUACCGCAUAAAAUUGAUUAUGGCAUGAUAAUUAAUUGAAAGAUGCAACUGCAUCACUACCAGAUGGACCUGCGUUGUAUUAGCUAGUUGGUGAGGUAACGGCUCAACCAGGCGACGAUACAUAGCCGACCUGAGAGGGUGAUUGGCCACACUGGGACUGAGACACGGCCCAGACUCCUACGGGAGGCAGCAGGAGGGAAACAUCGGCAAUGGGGGGAACCCUGACCGAGCAACGCCGCGUGAGGGAAGAAGGGUUUCGGAUCGUAAAGCUCUGUUGUAAGAGAAGAACGGGUGUGAGAGUGGAAAGUUCACACUGUGACGGUAUCUUACCAGAAAGGGACGGCUAACUACGUG
rnacentral:rRNA from 1 species